rnacentral:rRNA from 1 species
UACGUAGGGUGCGAGCGUUGUCCGGAAUUAUUGGGCGUAAAGGGCUCGUAGGCGGUUUGUCGCGUCGGGAGUGAAAUCCACUGGCUUAACUGGUGGCUUGCUUUCGAUACGGGCAGACUAGAGUGCGGUAGGGGAGACUGGAAUUCCUGGUGUAGCGGUGAAAUGCGCAGAUAUCAGGAGGAACACCGAUGGCGAAGGCAGGUCUCUGGGCCGAUACUGACGCUGAGGAGCGAAAGCGUGGGGAGCGAACAGG